UGAAUACGAGAUGCUACGGCGUCGAAGCAGUCUAUGUCAUACUUCCAAGAAAAGCUUGCACUGUCAUAAACAAAUAAUGCCUGUACCAUAACCGACACAGGUGGGUAGGUAGAGUAUACUAAGGGGCGCGAGAUAACUCUCUCUAAGGAACUCGGCAAAAUGACUCCGUAACUUCGGGAGAAGGAGUGCCUUAUUUAUAAGGUUGCAAUAACAAGAUCCAAGCAACUGUUUACCAAAAACACAGGUCUCCGCUAAGUCGUAAGACGAUGUAUGGGGGCUGACGCCUGCCCAGUGCCAGAAGGUUAGAGAAGUUGGUUAGCAUCCGCGAAGCUGAUAACUGAAGCCCUGGUGAACGGCGGCCGUAACUAUAACGGUCCUAAGGUAGCGAAAUUCCUUGUCGGGUAAGUUCCGACCCGCACGAAAUGCGUAAUGAUUUGGAUACUGUCUCGGAGAGGGGCUCGGUGAAAUAGACUUGUCUGUGAAGAUGCGGACUACCUGCACCAGGACAGAAAGACCCUAUGAAGCUUUACUGUAACCUGAAAUUGAAAUUGGACUUUACUUGCGCAGUAUAGGUGGGAGGCGUUGAGAAUAUUCUUGCGGGAUUAUUGGAGCCAUCAGUGAGAUACCACUCUUGUAAUGUUAGAUUUCUAACUUUGUAUCAUUAUCUGGUCAAAGAACAGUUUCAGGCGGGCAGUUUGACUGGGGCGGUCGCCUCCUAAACGGUAACGGAGGCGCACAAAGGUUUCCUCUGAACGGGUAGAAAUCGUAUCUAGAGUGUAAAGGCAUAAGGAAGCUUGACUGUGAGACCUACAAGUCGAGCAGGGACGAAAGUCGGUCUUAGUGAUCUGACGGUGCUGAGUGGAAAGGCCGUCACUCAACGGAUAAAAGUUACUCUAAGGAUAACAGGCUGAUCUCCCCCAAGAGUUCACAUCGACGGGGAGGUUUGGCACCUCGAUGUCGGCUCAUCGCAUCCUGGGGCGGUAGUACGUCCCAAGGGUUGGGCUGUUCGCCCAUGAAAGCGGUACGCGAGCUGGGUUCAGAACGUCGUGAGACAGUUCGGUCCAUAUCCGGUGUAGGCGUUAGAAUAUUGAGAGGAGCCUUCUUUAGUACGAGAGGACCGAGAAGGACAUACCUCUGGUGUACGAGUUAUCGUGCCAACGGUAAACGCUGGGUAGCUAUGUGUGGAGUGGAUAACCGCUGAAAGCAUCUAAGUGGGAAGCCCACCUCAAGAUGAGUGCUCUCACAGGGUUAACCUGGUAAGGUCACGGGAAGACCACCCGUUAAUAGGCACUAGGUGGAAGUCCAGUAAUGGAU
rnacentral:rRNA from 1 species